rnacentral:rRNA from 1 species
AGUGAACGCUGGCGGCGUGCCUAAUACAUGCAAGUCGAACGGAGUGGCGCACGGGUGAGUAAUGUAUAGCUAAUCCGCCCUACACUAGAGGACAACAGUUGGAAACGACUGCUAAUACUCCAUAGUGUAGGAUGAGGAUAUAUUGUAUCAGCUAGUUGAUGAGGUAAUGGCUCACUCAGGCUAUGACGCAUAACUGGUCUGAGAGGAUGAUCAGUCACACUGGAACUGAGACACGGUCCGGACUCCUACGGGAGGGAGCAGUAGGGUGUAUUGCUCAAUGGGCGAAACCCUGAAGCAGCUACGCCGCGUGGAGGAUGACACUUUGCGAAGCAUAAACGCCUUUUGUUAGGGAAGCGGUACCUAACGAAUAAGCACCGGCUAACUCCGUGCCAGCAGCCGCGGUAAUAC